rnacentral:rRNA from 1 species
CUCCCUGAGGUUAGCGGCGGACGGGUGAGUAACACGUGGGUAACCUGCCUGUAAGCUGGGAUAACUCCGGGAAACCGGGGCUAAUACCGGAUGCUUGUUUGAACCGCAUGGUUCAAACAUAAAAGGUGGCUUCGGCUACCACUUACACAUGGACCCGCGGCGCAUUAGCUAGUUGGUGAGGUAAUGGCUCACCAAGGCCACGAUGCGUAGCCAACCUGAGAGGGUGAUCGGCCACACUGGGACUGACACACGGCCCACACUCCUACGGGAGGCAGCAGUAUGGAAUCUUCCGCAAUGGACGAAAGUCUGACGGAGCAACGCCGCGUGAGUGAUGAAGGUUUUCGGAUCGUAAAGCUCUGUUGUUAGGGAAGAACAAGUACCGUUCGAAUAGGGCGGUACCUUGACGGUACCUAACCAGAAAGCCACGGCUAACUACGUGCCAGCAACCGCGGUAAUACGUAGGUGGCAAGCGUUGUCCGGAAUUAUUGGGCGUAAAGGGCUCGCAUGCGGUUUCUUAAGUCUGAUGUGAAAUCCCCCGGCUCAACCGGGGAGGGUCAUUGGAAACUGGGGAACUUGAGUGCAGAAGAGGAUAGUGGAAUUCCACGUGUAGCGGUGAAAUGCUUAGAGAUGUGGAGGAACACCAGUGGCGAAGGCGACUCUCUGGUCUGUAACUGACGCUGAGGAGCGAAAGCGUG